AACGAACGCUGGCGGCAUGCCUAACACAUGCAAGUCGAACGAGACCUUCGGGUCUAGUGGCGCACGGGUGCGUAACGCGUGGGAACCUGCCCUUAGGUUCGGAAUAACUCCCCGAAAGGGGUGCUAAUACCGGAUAAUGUCUUCGGACCAAAGAUUUAUCGCCUUUGGAUGGGCCCGCGUUGGAUUAGCUAGUUGGUAGGGUAAAAGCCUACCAAGGCGACGAUCCAUAGCUGGUCUGAGAGGAUGAUCAGCCACACUGGGACUGAGACACGGCCCAGACUCCUACGGGAGGAAGCAGUGGGGAAUAUUGGACAAUGGGGGAAAGCCUGAUCAAGCAAUGCCGCGUGAGUGAUGAAGGCCUUAGGGUUGUAAAGCUCUUUUACCCGGGAUGAUAAUGACAGUACCGGGAGAAUAAGCUCCGGCUAACUCCGUG
rnacentral:rRNA from 1 species